GUCCCAGAUAAUAAUUAGGAAAACAAAUCAGGACCGAAACUCCAGAGAGUCUGAAAUUGGCUGACCAUGGAACACCUAACCCGAAAAUAUGCAUAUCCCUUUCAGAGGGCAAAAAUCUGAGGAGAGGCUACAAUCCAAGGAAUGCAGGGAGCCUGUAGAAACUGGAAAAAGCAGACAAAUGAAUUCUCUCCCAGAGCUUCCAGAGGGAAUGUGGUGCUGGUGACACCUUGAGUUCAGAAAUUCAGUGACCUUCAGAACUUUGCCUAUGGUCUCUGCACAGUUUUUCUGCCUGGAAGUACUUCUUUAAAAUAAAAUAUCUAGUUGUGGUUGGAUAUACACAUCUCCAAAGUCUCCAGGAGAUGAACCUGAGCUGGAGUCUUCUGGUGAUCAUGAAAAUAUAACAUAAAACAACCAAAAAGAAGAAGAAUAACAUGCAGAAUGCACACAGUGUGAACAUUGUAAGCAA
rnacentral:lncRNA from 1 species